AUUGAAAUACAAAUAUUUAUUACAGACCACAAAUCACAAUAUUUUCAAUUCUUGAGUUGUAUCAUUCUCCGUUGCCAACAUCUGGUUGUAGUUAGCUUCCAUAGCAGUAGUACAUGUUGGAACAAAAUGUGUUUUACAAUGAACCUUAAUGAGUUUUGAUGAUAACAAGGUAUUAAAAAUUGUCAAUUGGUUAUUACUAAUAAUUGUUCAAGUAUACAGGACCAAAUGCUAGUCAAGUAAUUUCAAUAGGUCUUGGAAGAACAAUGGAAAGCAAAGGAAUUCAUAGCAUCUGAAGAAAACUGCGUCUGAAGCUUGAAGUGCCCCUGAAGCUGAAGUGCAUCUGAAGUGAUGACGUCAUCAGAAGCAGAAGCUCAUUAGAAGCAAGGUUUUCAUCAGAAGCGAUAUCAUCACCAGAAGCUACAUUUUAUCCGUAAAUUCAAACUGAAGAUCCAAAGUAGCUGUUUCUCAUUUCAACAUUAUCUAAGAAGAACGAAGAAUUGAAAGGGAGGUAUCAACGGUCAUUUGGAUAGCACUGAGUAUUUGUCCUUCGUUAACAGAGUUGACAAAGUACAAGUGUACAACCACUACCUCCACUACUCUGUUUUGUCCACGCUACAAGACAAGACAACAGCUAUGCCAGCAGAAUUUGUGCCUUCAAGAUGGGAAUGAAUUUGAAGCUAAUUCUUCAAAGGACUACACCCAAAUCAGGCAAAGGAUUACUGGUGAAUGAUCAAAGGAUUCCAAACGACUCUUUAGACGUGCUAAUCAUCUCAACGUCUCUUUCACACCUCUAUAUAAAGGAGUGAAGACUUGAAGAUUGUAGAAAGAUAUACACAAGUUAAAAAGCGCCAAAACUCUGUCAAUUUGAUUCUACAAAGCACACUGAAUUUCUGCACUGAUUUGAUACAUCUUAGAAAUUCAAAAGUCUAGAGUCUUUAACGUAUUGUAUUGUGAACACCACUGAUUGUAUAUCAAGUGUUCAAGUCAAACUUAUUUCAUUGUAUUUUUGUUUGAUCAGAAGCCUCUUGCCUGCGUGCUUGAGCAUUAGAAGACUCUUGCUUAGUGCUUGAGCAUUGGAAGACUCUUGCGUGUGUGCUUAAGCAUUUUUGAGAAGUCUCAUACUUAGAGAGUAUUGAGCAUUUUGUAAUCUUCGUGAUUAUAGUGAAAUCUCCUUGGAAGUGCAAGGGGGACUGGACUACUUCCGAUUUGUGGAAGGAACCAGGAUAACUGCUUGUGUCUUGCUUUUCUUUUCUCUGCUUUGAUCUUUUCCGCUGCAUAUCUGAUUCUGAUCAUUUCAUCAGAAGCAUUCACAAACUGCUUCUGAAGUUUUAUCAGAAGAAGAAUUUUUUUUAGAGAGAAAAAGAAAACACAAUUCAACCCCAACCCCCCCCCCCCCCCUCUCUUGUGUUUUUCUCACCUUCAGUACACACACCUUUCCACUCAUUAGUUUUCCCAAUUAUUUCUUGGCAGAAUGACAUAACGUUUUCUCCAUAUUGAACUCAAAGGUAGAUGCAAUUAUAGAGAUCAAGGCACAAUCAUGGUCAAGUUGUCUUUGUCACAACAUUCAUAACUACAGAUCCCAACCGAAAGAUAUGAACAAAUUUGAUUUUUUGUAUCCAAUUUUGUGUCUGGUUAUGGUUGUCCAUUAAUUUGUGUUAUAAACCUCCAAGGAAGAAGAAGAGGGGAAAUAGAUCAGUUGUGCAAAAAUAACAUUUAGAGUGAAAGAACAAUCUUGCAAUU
rnacentral:lncRNA from 1 species